rnacentral:rRNA from 1 species
GACGAACGCUGGCGGCGCGCCUAACACAUGCAAGUCGAACGAGCGAGAGAGAGCUUGCUUUCUCGAGCGAGUGGCGAACGGGUGAGUAACGCGUGAGGAACCUGCCUCAAAGAGGGGGACAACAGUUGGAAACGACUGCUAAUACCGCAUAAGCCCACGGCUCGGCAUCGAGCAGAGGGAAAAGGAGUAAUCCGCUUUGAGAUGGCCUCGCGUCCGAUUAGCUAGUUGGUGAGGUAACGGCCCACCAAGGCGACGAUCGGUAGCCGGACUGAGAGGUUGAACGGCCACAUUGGGACUGAGACACGGCCCAGACUCCUACGGGAGGCAGCAGUGGGGAAUUUUGGACAAUGGGGGCAACCCUGAUCCAGCCAUGCCGCGUGCAGGAUGAAGGCCUCGGGUUGUAAACUGCUUUGUCAGGGACGAAAAGGAAUCGUGAUAAUACCAUGGUCUGCUGACGGUACCUGAAGAAUAAGCACCGGCUAACUACGUGCCAG